AGCAUUUUAGGAUUUGAAUUUGCAUAUUGACAAUUAUGUCACAUUGUGUAACUAUUUUGAUUUUUUUUUUUCAUUUUACAGAAUUGAAUAGCAGUAAGUCGUUACACUGUAAAUGUUUCAGACUAUUGAUUUGGGGAACAGUUAGGUCCUACAUACAACUGUUUUAGAUUCAGGUAUAUCAGUAAUUUUUCAUUGCAAGCUUCAGCUGAUUUAUCAAUGUUUUGAUAUAUUUUAUAUAUCUAUGAUAAUAGUGCUACAUGUAUUAAACACCAAGUUCUUAUUCAGUAAAAUGUAUAUGAAAUUGGUCAUUCAUCAAGAUUUUUUUCAAGAUAAAGUAGACUGUAUUUCUUUUCUCAAAAUUGAAGUAUAUGGUAAUUAUAUUUGUAUACUAGAUUUGAGUAAACCAUCAACUUAGUUUCCAUCCUUUUUUACUUUUGUUUAAUUUUGUUUCAUUCUUCUUUCGUCGAUUCAGAUUGUGUAAAAUGAUAAUUCAACAUCACUGAAAUGAUUGUUUUUAGUCGAUUCUAAGAACAUAGAUGCCUUUUUCUGUGAAAGAUGGAAAAUGAUUUGGAAUUUCGGUGGUACAUGGAUUUAAGAUUAUGAUAUUGGGUCUUUUAUCAAGAAGAAGAAAGAAGCAUCUACCAUUAUCAGCAGCUAAAACUUGGACAAAUAUUCCUUGUUUUCUGGAUAUGUUGGGGGUGCUAUUAUUUUGUGGGAGUAUUAUGUUUUGAAAGAGAGCUAGAAAGCAUUUUUUUUUUAUCUUUUAUUUUAAGAGUUUUGACUAUAAGUUUCUUUUAUGUUGACCACGAUAAUAAAACCAACAGUAU
rnacentral:lncRNA from 1 species